rnacentral:lncRNA from 1 species
AAUUUUUUAUUUCAAAGCUCUACUAUAAACGGUUCCUGAGAUAUGGCCGAGAGCCAUUCUUAUUGGGACACCCGGUACAUAUGUGCGGCUUUUUUAAUCGACUUCCAUUUCGAAGAGAAUAGUUUCUCUUCGUUUAACCUUUUUUAACAAUGUAUUAUCUUCUUCUUCUUUAAACACCGUGCCCAAAUUUUAGGCGAGGGUAGUUUCCAUGACAAUUUAUCGCUAUAGUGUUAUUGUAGGUAGUAGAUAAUUAAAAAAAAUAUGAGCAUGUGCAUCGUUUUUUCUAAAAUUAUAUUUUUGAUAGCUUGUUAAUAGAUAAGAUAUAAUAGGUAUCUGACGGCUAAUAUGUUAGCAGUCAACUUUAGAUAUACCUACUUAUUUAUUUUGUUGUUUGCCGACAUGUUCAAUUAGAUGAUACUCUCAGAUUUUCAUAAUUUAAUGCAGAAUUUUGGCUCCUUUCAUGGACCGUGUGCAUACAAAUAUACCUUAGCUUAGAAGCACUUGUAGACGGUUCCAGGAUAAACCAUAUCUUAAGGAGGGGACAAUGUUACAACAGCUUUGCUACGCCCCUGAGCGAAACUUCGCGACAGCCCAAGAAGCGCUACGGGUGUCCUGACACAAGAAUUCAAUUGGGUUCUAGAAUAUUUCGAAGAAUGACUCUACUGUAUAUAAGGGAAGUUAAAUUGUAGAGGGUUAAUCUAACAUAUAAAUGUGUACAGAAGAAACAAGCAUUGGACUGCCGUUACUAGCCCAAGUAGUGUUUGAUCGCGCGAUUGGCAGUUUCAAUAGGGAACUUGCAUAAAAUUUGAAAUUCGAAAAAAAUGUUAUAAAUCACAACAGAACAU